rnacentral:lncRNA from 1 species
UUCACAUUUAAUUAACAGCAUGUGGCCAAAAUUCCCAUAACAUCUACUCACUCCUAUUUCUAACCCUAACCCUGUUAAAUUCACCAGUCCAUAAACGUCACUUUGUAACUGCACAUAUGACCUACUCAAGCUGGAUGGUUUUGAUCUGCUUUACUAGUAUCCAUUGGUUAAUGGGUUAGUUUUUUGAAAAUACUGUAUUGAGGUCAGUCUUGUGAAGAGGAAGGAACUUGUGACUUUAAGGGCUUCAUGCCAAUAACUCCACAUAGGGCGGUCCACUGGAAUGCACUUCCACUCAUGCACAUAAAUGUCUGUUGACAACAUACCUGACUCCCUGAGGAAAGUGGUACGUCUUCAUUCAAUCCCUGAGAGCUGAAACAAGCAGACAAGAUGAAGCUUAAGUCUCUCCCGUCGAGGCUGUUUGGCAGACGUUCAGCAUCACCAUCGAGUGAUACUCAGAAUGUACAAGCAGCAAAAUAUGAAAGACAAGUGGACUGCGAGGAUCGCCCAGAGAGCCUGGAUCGAUCUGGCUGUGACGACAACCAACAAGUGGCAGGCAGCAGCAAGAAAAAGGAGAAGUGCCACAGAGAAAUCCAUUUUUCCUUUGUUACAGAGCGUUAUGAGCAACUGAUGGACGAGGCGCAAGCCAAAGCAAAAGAAGAGAAAAAGAAAAUGAAGAAGGAAAAGUACAAAAAAGUAAAGAAGAAUGCUGGCAAAGCCAUGCGUGCUACCUGGAAGUGUCUAAUGCUUGGUCUGUACAAUUUUGCUCUAGGAUACUCUACUCCGAUAACGGUGGCAGCUACUUUUGUCCCUGAGUUUUACCCUGGCAGAAACAGGACCUAAGUUCAGUAGAGAUAAAAUCAUCUCCUCCAGCUUCUUUACAAUCUGUACUUAGCAACAAAAAUAUGAAUGAUGACCAAAGAUUGUAAAUUGUAUUUGUAGAUUGUUAUUUCUUUGUUACAAACGCAUAAUUCUUACUCAUAAUUAUUGUUAUCUGUAAUCUGUAGUCAUAAGAUAUUCUAUUUACAGUACCACUAUACAGAUUUGUAGAAAUACAUGUAUUAUAUAUUAUAAAGGGAGACUGUCUCAUUAAAGUUAAAUCACAUAUAACCCAUACACUUAUUAAGCCUUAGCUUAGAUGUAUAUAAAAAAAUGUGUGCCUUUUCACACUUUUUUUUAAAUAUACUGCCUGGUAUUUGAAAUUAUUGAUUGUUUAAAUAGAAUUUAAAUGUUACAGUUACACCUUGUGUCAAAUUAACUGUAAAUAUUAUCAAAUAACUAGCUGGUGUUUGCAUGUGUUUUAGAAAGAUAAAAUAGAAAUGUGGCACUCACAGCAGGAGAUAAAAAUGAUUGGCAGAUUGUUCUUUAAUGGAUUUAUGGGCAGAAAAGAUGAAGAGAAGUGAGCAUUAGUGAAGCACAUGAAAGGUGACUGAGCUUUUAUCUUGGAGUUGAGCUUUUGGACCAGAGGUCUAAGGUGUAUUUUUCUAAAACCAAAGACUGCAAAUGACUGAAGGUGAUAAAGGCUUUAGUACUGUGAAGUAUAUGUUAGUUCAAAUUUGAAUGCUAAGGUGUGAUUUUUUUGAAAGUAAUGUCUAUGUUUGAGUUUCUUCAUUUGUAAAUGUUUUGUAAUUCAUGACUUUUGUAAAUUGGAGUAUAACUUGUUAUUAAAUUACACAUAACACAGUUAUUUUAAAAUAUAGCAUGUAUUGUUUUUGUUUUGUUUUGUUUUGUUUUGUUUUUGUUUGGGACAAUAUUCCACCCUAUGUAUAAAACAGAAACUUCUAUGUUUGUUGUUUUGUUUCUAAGAAUAAUAGUUUGAAAAAAAUAUCUGUAAUUGUAUUUUACUCGAGAAUGUCCGCAGUAUGGUUAAUUAGGACUAUGAAAGUGUAUAAUAAAUAAUUUUUUACUGAGAUUAUUGUCGUGUAACUUGGGAAC